AUCUGUAAAUGAUGAUCUUGUAACAAAACAUUGGGAAUCUCUCUGAGUCAGAGUGAAAGAGAACUUGUAUCUGAUGCGUGCAGAC